rnacentral:lncRNA from 1 species
CCCUGUUUCAAAACCACAGGUCUUCCAGAACACUUUGUUGAUGACUUUCAUGAUUACAUGUCUGUGCCUGAAGCCAGUUCUCCCUCAAACUGUUCCCCCUCAAGUUCUAGCCACUCUGAUUCUACAUUUGUUUUAAAUUCUAAGGUAUAAAAUAACCAGAAAAAAACUGGCCAAGAGCAACAUUUUUUCACCAUCUGUACUGAGACUAAACCAAACCAAGAAAUAGUUUAACGCCUCUCCCUAUCAUGGGUAUGAGCACACUGAAGAGAUGAAAAUCAGGGCAUCUUGGAGUAAUGAAAAUUAUGUAAUCUACUUUAAGUCAGAAAUUGUCAUACUGAUUGCAUCUCAUGGCUUUUCUUUCUUUUUCUUUUUUUGUUUUGUUUUGUUGUUUUCUUCUUCCCAGCAUUCCUUUAGUGUCUUUGGAACUAUUAUUCUCCUGGCCACAUAUUGGGAGAUGCUCCACAAAAGUGUCCUUUGGCCUAGAGUAGUAGCACACACCUGUAAUCCCAGCACUCUGGUAGGCUGAGGCAGGAGGAUCACAAGGUGAAUGAAGCCUAAAACUGGUUAAAAAGGGCCAGAGAUAUUGCUCAGCCUGAAAGGCUCUGAGUUCUUCCAGCAGUAUUGCAAACAAAAGCAAGAACUGUUGUUUGCAAUUAAUGUAGAAAAGGCUUUAAUUUGAAGAUUCAGUUGAUAAAUGGUGAGUUGGAUGGGGACUGUAGGACAUAGCAGUAAACACGUGGGAAAGGAGAGACAACCACUUCUCUGAGAGCUUUGGUGAACCUCAGUGAUUCUGGGCAUGGGAAGUAGAGGAGGAACUUUCAACAUGAGCCCGAGUUUCACACCAAGAUUCUGGAAAGACUGUCCUAUACGUGACAAAUUCAACAUACCAGUUGCUUUAUGAAAAAUAAACCAUCCCUUUUAUUUUUACUCUCUUAAAAGAGCUAUGGGAGCUUAGUGGAUGGUUUCUGCAAUUGUUGUUUUGACCCUGAGAUGGCAUGAAUUUAGCAGAGUUGACAAUCUCCAGCACUCUGCUAGCUACAAAUGGACCCUUAUGGAGGAAGCACCACAGUCAUUGAGCUGGAUGUUUCUGGUCCUUUCUCUUUUUUUUGGUGCGUUCUUCACUCAUGUGCUGUGGCUUGCGUACAGAGGAAACAACCCCUCUACCAGUCUGGAAAUCUCACCAGAAGCUCAGAGUGCAGUCUGGCAAAGAGAAAUCAAGUGCACACCAGCCACAGGCACUGUGCAAAUGCCCCCUCUUUAUCCAGACAGGGAUUCUGCUUUCUGCCUCCAGCCAGGACACUUCUGGAGAGCUGGCUACAGGGAUGGAGAUAAACUCUGUCUUGUCCUUGCUCUUUCUCCUGUAUCAGCGGAUAGAGUAGAACCUCUGGGAAUUGUUCAGGCAUGCUGGGCCCGUGAACUGUCACACCGACUGCAUUUCCUUUGGCUGGGUUUCCUCACCUGACACUAGCAACAGACCAGAAGUCUCCUUUGACAAAAUGGAGAUGCCAGUGGGCCUCUGACCAGGUGCCCGAACUCAUUCCCUCUGGCAGAGCAUCUCACAAACACCCCCGAAGCAAUCAGAAAGGGUUCAAAGGAGCCAGGAUUUUAGCAUCGUGAAAAGCAUCCCUGGGAUGCUGUGUUCUCUCGCCAGCCACCAUGUCUCAUGCGGGAAGGAGCUGGUGCCUUGGAGAAGGUGUGUUGCUGUUUAUAAGGCGAGAGGUGUGCUCUGCCUUCCUGCCUCCAGAUUUGUGCGUGAUGUCACUUGGGUUAAGAUGCAGCCCACCACAAGGGGACUGGCACGUAGUCUGGCAUUUUUGUGGCAGCUUUGUCUGUGGUCACAACAUAGAAGGUCUACUUCAUGGUGCUUAUCACUGUGUAUUAUGGAUUUAAAUUGGUGGAAUGCUCCAUAGCUAUAGCGAAGGAGAAAACAACACUUCCAAAUAAUUGACUAGUGAAUGAGAUUUAUUGUAUAUGGAUAGCAUUCUCCCCUACUUGUCUCUUUCUCCCGCCUCUCCAUCCUCCCUCAUGGAAAAUUACAGUAGGAUUCUGUCCCGCUCCACUUUAUUUGAACAAUGACAGAGUGCCACCUGCGAUACGUACCUCCCUACUACCGAUAUGCCGCCAUCUACAGUAAUGAGAUUCCUCUUCUGAACAGAAGAAAUGAAGGGCGACGUCUAGCUGCUUUCACUUCUCUAGAGAUCCUCAGACCAAUUUUAACAUCUGGCAUCGGAUCAUGGCUUGAAAAAUGAUUGGGUUUUCUGUGAGCAGCCUUCUCCUGAUUUUGCACAUUUCCCUACUCCUCAGAGACACUUCAGAAUUCAAGAAACGAAAUGAUGAUCUUUUCACGUAUGUGUGAUUUUUAAAAAACUUUUGUCUUUUUUCUAAGAAUGGCAAUUUUCCAGGGAACACACACACACACACACACGCACACACACGCACACUCAUACACAUCUCUAUCCAUCCACUUAUGCAUAUGUGUGUAUAUUUAUGAAUAUAUAAAUAUAUGUAUGGAUACAUGUGCACAAAUACAAGAUGUGUCUAUAUAUUUGUGUGCACACACAUUUAUUUAUAAGUGUGCAAUUAGAAUGGAGGCAAAUAAAUCAGAUGCCUGGAAGACAUGAUUGCAAAUGAAUUUUCCAGAAUAUUUCACUGAUUUUCCCCUUUAUCUUUUUUGGUUUUGCUAAAGGGGCGCAUUAUUAUUGUCAGAUGAAUAAUCAGGUGACCGUGUCUUUUAUUUUUGUAUUUAAUACACCAUACGUACAUUGGAUUAACCUCUUUCUCUGUCUGUCUGUCUGUCUGUCUUUCUCACUCUCUCUCACCCUCCAUAUCUCCUCCAGAGGGUGACUGUCACAGACCUCAGCUAUUCUAAUGCCAAUUUUGUCAUAAAGGUGCAUUGUUGUGGGUGUAUAAACCCACAUUUAUUCUUUAGAAUAUUUCUAUUGAUGAAUUAUUAAUUUUAAUUUUGUGAGUUUGAUUAUAUCAAAAAGUGCUUAACAGGAAAAAAUAAAGUAUUGAAUUUUUAAUAUUUAUUGAGUGUUUAUAUAAAAGCAUCAAAAUUUUCAACUUUGACUUUUUUUGGCACACAAUAUCUGAAAAAUAACAACAGAAAUAAAUUCCUAUAUGAACUAUGUGGAAAAUACCAAUAGAACUCUAUAAUAAAAAACAAUGUUUGCUUCAGUUGCCACACCCAAGGCAGUCUUCAUACAUGACAACUGCAUGUUCCAUGCAUGUGUCUUGCUUACAGUGACAGCACAUGUACUUAGCUUUUCUUUCCUGUGAAGCAGGACAUUCUUAUCACCUCUCUUGUCUUCCUCUUUUGUGAGGAGCUUCUUACUAUAUUUUACAAUGUGCACUUAGCAUGAAAAUAAGAUAUCAAUAAAAUAAAAUAUCAAAUAUAUAAAGAGUGCUUAGAAUAGACAUCAACAUUUUCACAUCAGCUGUUUAGUACUUUACAAAACCUAAAAGAUAGCAUCAGAAAUAAAAACCUAAGUAGGCUGCAAUGUGAAUAUAAACAAAAGUCUACUAUAGAAAUAGUCUUUGCUUUGACUGUCACACCCAAAGCAAUCUUCACACAUGAAAACCGCAUGUUCCAUAUGCAAGUAUCACUUACACUGAUUGCAUGUAUGUUUUGUUUUCCUGUUCUUUUUUGUAAGGCAGGGUUGACAUCUUUUUUAUUUUCCUUUCAUUGUAGGUCUUUGGGAUGCUGCGCCUGCUUGUUCACUUGUCAGGUCAACAGUGUGCUCCACAGUUUUUUUUGCAUAUUCCCCUGGGCAGAAACAUUUUGUUUUUCCUUUGCUGUAAAUGAUCUCUUAAGAGUUCCAUUCCCAAUCCUCUAAGAAGAUUUUGCACUUGUUAUUUUCUUUGUUAACUAUCAAAUGAUGUAUGCCACACACAUUUAGGAUCGAGUGAAACACAACCAUUGCCCAACACUUCGUGUUUUGAGUGACAUCAUAGUUGCUGUGUAACUCAUCCACAACAUCUAUUCCACCUUUGGUUUUGUUGUGGGAUGUUUCCAUCUCAGGCUUCUGUUUUGUCGAUGUUUUCCUAUCCAUAUUUCCAUCAUGGUGUAGUGUUGACAUCAGCAGUACCAGUUUGUUUUUCUUUGACAUACACGAGGCCGACGUUAUAUCUUUCUGAAAACCAAAGAUUGUACUAUACAAGUCCCCAUUUUGAAAUUGCAAUAUUUCACUUGGAGUUUCUGCUUUGUUGCUGUGUACAGUUUCUAUGCUGGUCAACUUGUGCUCUGUUAGCAAAUAUAACAUCAACUGGAAACUGGUAAACCAAUCGUCAGGUGUCAUGUUCCAAUUAGUUUGGGAGAUGGGAGCAACAAGUCUAUGCACAACAUCAUUUGGUUUAUUACUAUAUGAAUAAAGACCUGGUGGCUGAGUUCCAGGAUAAAUUUCUAAAUCGCAUCUACAAAGUCAUACAUUUUUAUGCCAUAUUUUGAAAUGCUUUUUUGGCAUAUACUGCCUGAAGCUACAGUGACCACUAAAUGCUGCAAGAUGUUCAAUAGUCACGUAUUCAGAUAGUGUGUAAAUUGUUUGGCAAUUACCCACAAACCUCUCAAACAAUGAACAGAUAGCAGCCAGAUUAUCAGUUCUUUUUCUUUUUUUGGCAAGUGGUUUUUUCAUCAAAUCUCAGACAGUUUUGAAGGAAACCAAAUCUCCUCAGUGUCACUGUUAUUCUACAAACCACAAGCCUAUACCCAUCACUUUUCCAUAAGUCUUUUACAUUCUUGCCAUUACAAUGAGGAAGCCCUGCAAAGUACAGCAGACCUAUGAAUGCUUUCAGUUCAGCUAGUGUAAUAAAUACAUUUUUGUUCACAAGCUCAAGGUCCUGAGUUUUGAUCCCUGGUACAAGAAAAACCAUUUUUGAGUAUGGCUACUGGUGCAGAGAAUGUUUUCCUUGUAUUUCAGAAUUUGUGUAUUUCACAACAUCUUCUAGCAUUUUGUCUGUUACAAUUUCCAACAUUAAAUGGCAGUGCUGGCAUUCUGUCCAGUAGCUUUCACCCCUGCCAAGGUCCUCACUAUAUUUUUGAAUCUAGUUCUAAUACUGGAGCAUUCCAUUUGGUUCUGUGACUAUUUUGUGCCAUUUUGACUAGUCAAAUAUGUACUCACAUUGCUGUUUUCUUCAUCAUCUGAAUCAUCUGAAUCUCCAUUAUCUGAAUGGUCUUCAUUCUCUUGUCUAUAUAGGUGGAUUCUUGCUCCAUUUUACUGUCACAGCAUCUUUGGCUUAGAUGGCCAAUGUCCAAGGCAUUAUCAUCUUCAUCAUCCUUGCAGGAGUAAUGUGAUGAUUCACUUUUGACCUCCACCCAAACUUGUGAAUCUGGUUUUUCAUGUGCCAUUGUACUGAAUUGGGCUACCUCUACCAGAGAAAUCAAAAGAAAACUUAAAAAAAAAAUCAUAAGUGCACAGAAAUUUAACAAUGAACAUUUUGUGGGUAAAAUUCACCUGUUGCUGCUUUGGAGCUCCUGUACACACUUUGGUGUCCAUCUGCUAAGUGUGUGAAUGCACAGAUGAGUUUCUGCUUUCCCCAGGUGCAGCUACUGGAGUCACACCCACAUUCCAUUAUAGUAAAGUACAUGUUUUCAUAACAGAAGAGUGGUGUGGGUAUUUUUCACCCCCUGUGAUGCUCAGGUAAGCAUAGGCAAAACCUAUUAGCUGAAGUAUUAGGUGAGUAAAAAUUCCAGUUUGACACCUUCAUACAUGCACACACCUUGCCGUUCAUCAUACCAAGUGGGCAAACACAAAGACUACUUCCUGUAUCCCCCAAGCAUAGCUACUGAGAUGCACAGCUGCCUACUAUUAUGCUAAAGCACAAACUCAGAGUAGAAAAGAAUGGGAUGGGUUGUUGUAACUCAAUGGUAUGCCCUAUUGUAUAUAUGGCAACCACAAAUGUAUAUUGGCAAUGCAUCUUCAGAGAAAUCCUAAAGAAGAUUUCUAUUUUUUCUCUCCUUCAGAUAUCAUGAACGAAUACAUUAUGAGACUACAAAGUAUGAGGGUGUAAAAUUUUGAAUAAUGUUGUUUGUCAGGAAAAAUUCUUAACACCACCAUUAUUCUUAUUGAUUUCCCUUUCCUUUGUGAACUUUCUGUUUGUAGGUGCUGUCUGCAAGGUUGAAAUCCAUAGGUAAUUUAUCAUUUAGAUUAAUUAAAAACUCCACUCCUGUGGAUUUCUUUAGGUUGUGUGAAAAAUGGAUGUUGGCCAAAAUUUCAACUUUUUGGUUUAAAGACAGUAAUUUUUCACCUUAGAACAUUGUCAGUAACAACCACCCCCAGCGUUUUCAGCCUUGCAUGUGAUCAAUCCUGCUUUUUAUAAUGAUUGCUGCUGUAACAGAAGUUAUUUGCCAAAUGGAUAUGAAGUUCUUGAACCAAGAUACACUUCCAUUUCCUGCCCAGAGUGUGAUGACCAGAGCGUGUAUUGAAAGUGUUUGCAGAAACAUGCGUAGUCUCGUGAAUUUAAAUUCACAUUGCUUGGUGACAUUGGGGGCGUCAACAGAUUUAUCCUUUCAGAACCCUAACCUUCAUUUGUUGUUUUUAACUUUUUUCAUACCUGCAGUACUUUUGCUCCAAAGCAGGAGCUCAGAGAAACUUAUGAAUGGUUGCACUGUUGGUGUCAGCUGGGGAUAGUUCUAAGUUUCCCCAGCACCCACACUUGCCAAAAUAACAAAAGGCAUAGACGUCAGACUUCUACAAACUGGCUUAGUAUUUUCACAUACCUUAUACAUAUCCUCCUGUAUGCUUUGAAUCUCCUGUAGAUUAUUUAUAACACUUCCUAACACAAUGUCAAUGCCAUGUCUAUUUGACUUGGGUGGCGGGUGUGUAUUACCUUACUGUGAAAUACUCUCCCAAAUGAUGGAAAGAUGUGACACAAUUCUAUCAGAAUUCCUUCUACCUUUUGUACAACAGUUGAUCGUGGCAAAUCCCAUGUGUUACAAUGUGGAUGAACCUCAAAAAUAUCAUGCUAAAUGAAAGAAACCAUACAUGAAAGACCCUAUAUUGUAUGAUCCUGUGUAUAUGAAAUAUCUAGAAAAAAAUUCAUAGCAAUAGAAAGUAAAAAGUUAAAGGGAUAGGGAAAUGACUGUUAGAGGGCAUGGAACUUCUUUUGAGGAAUGAUGAAAAUAUUACAUUUCAAUAAUUUGUUAUUUUUUAAAUAUACAAAAGAGGAGAAAGAAUAAGAAAGAACUGGUUAAAUUGAUAAGGAAUUACUUCCAGAAUAUACUUUUUGGUUAACAAUGUAAAGUGUGGUCAACUGGAAGCAAUCAGAAUGCCCAUAAUUGGUAGAGAUGAACGAGUCACCAUCUAGCCACUUAACAUGCAAAACAAAAUAGAAUAGGUUAUAUGUUUGGAAGGGAAAUGGCUCAGGAAUGUAGAGUACUCUAUGGGAAGAUACAAAUACAAGGCUAAUAAGCUGGGUUGGUUUUAUUCUUGUGCUAAAGACAAAAUCACCCAGCAUUUUACAAUCUUUUGUUUAUUCUAAGGACUCACAGGAAGGUCCUUCUUUGUAUUCACUAAUCAGCAUGUUAAGUUCUCCUUUCCUUCCCAGAAACCAUGGUAGCUUCAUGGAAGAUUUCCUCCUGGGUCACUUAAUACAUGAUGGAGGGAACUCAUUGACUUGGUGUUGUACGUUUUUGAAUAAAUGAAAUCUCCUGUAGAGAAAAUUGGGCGUCUAAAGGUGAUGUUCCUGCCUUGGACCCAUGGAUUCACUCCAUCUUUGUCAUUCUAUCUCUGGUGGACAUUGAACUUUAUAAAAUGUGAUAAAAAGUACUUUUAGUCUUGGAAGGAGCAAACUGGACUGUCUGAAAAACAACUUUUUAAGUGAAAACGGGAACUUUUGGUGGAGAUCCACUGUUUCCAAAACCUUGAAGGAACAAAGGUUGCCACUCGCCAGCACCUGGGGAGUCAAUAUGCGUCUAUCAGCUCUUGACUUUGGGCCCAGUGCACCUUCUUGAUCCUGAUUACUGCAGACACCUUCUGAUUCAUCUUCCACAAACCGAGUAUUCGCAGCCCAACUGUUCAGAUGAACCUUAAAUAUGUUUCUGAACCCAGCCAAACUGACAAUCAAGAUGAACAAACAUGGUAAUUGAUUCAAGACCAAUAUCAAUCCAUUCUGAAGGUGACAACACAAUGACCAAAUUUCCUCAACUGGCCUCACCAAGGAAAGAGCCUAACACCUCUUAACAUUAUCACAUCGAGGUUUGAGCUUCCAGCAUAUGAAUGUUUAGGCAAGAAUCGUUUAAUGUCUGUCACUUGAUAAAAUCAGGACCACCCAGGAUAAUCCACCUUUUGAUGAAUUAAAAAAAUCAAUAUACAUGGAAUCUUAACAAAAUAUGCUGAAACAUUUCACCUUCAACCUAUUCUGAUGAUUAACCAGUAUUGGUCUAGUCCAGUCUUGGGAGGAGGCAAUUAGGUUG